rnacentral:rRNA from 1 species
AGAUUGAACGCUGGCGGCAGGCCUAACACAUGCAAGUCGAGCGGCAGCACGGGUACUUGUACCUGGUGGCGAGCGGCGGACGGGUGAGUAAUGCCUAGGAAUCUGCCUGAUAGUGGGGGAUAACGUUCGGAAACGGACGCUAAUACCGCAUACGUCCUACGGGAGAAAGUGGGGGAUCUUCGGACCUCACGCUAUCAGAUGAGCCUAGGUCGGAUUAGCUAGUUGGUAGGUAAAGGCCUACCAAGGCUACGAUCCGUAACUGGUCUGAGAGGAUGAUCAGUCACACUGGAACUGAGACACGGUCCAGACUCCUACGGGGAGGCAGCAGUGGGGAAUAUUGGACAAUGGGCGAAAGCCUAG